GCCCUUUGGGUGGAGGAUGAGACACCUGUAAUGUGCUGUGUGGUUUUAUCCUGUAACCGUAUCAACAAUGGUUUAUCUGAGCAGGCUGGACCUCUGUGAGGGAGAAGGAAAUGGAACACCUACAUUUCUAACUGGCACUGCCUCACGUGUUGCUAAGGGAGGAGUUGACCACACCAAAAUGAGUCUGCAUGGUGCUAGUGGGGGACAUGAGAGAUCAAGAGAUAGACGAAGGUCAAGUGACAGAUCACGAGAUUCAUCUCACGAGAGAGCAGAGUCUCAGCUCACUCCUUGUAUUCGAAAUGUGACUUCACCAACAAGGCAGCAUCAUAUUGAACGAGAAAAAGACCAUAGUUCAUCUCGUCCAAGCAGUCCUCGUCCUCAAAGAGCAUCCCCAAAUGGCUCCAUUAGUAGUGCUGGGAACAGCAGCAGGAACAGCAGCCAGUCAAGCUCAGAUGGAAGCUGUAAGGCGUCCGGGGAGAUGGUGUUUGUGUAUGAGAAUGCAAAAGAAGGGGCUCGCAGUGUGAGGACAUCUGAGCGAGUGACCCUGAUAGUGGAUAACACCAGAUUUGUUGUGGACCCGUCCAUUUUUACUGCACAGCCAAAUACAAUGUUGGGCAGGAUGUUUGGAUCUGGCCGGGAACAUAAUUUCACACGUCCCAAUGAGAAGGGAGAAUAUGAGGUGGCAGAGGGAAUUGGUUCUACUGUGUUUCGAGCUAUUU
rnacentral:lncRNA from 1 species